UACGGAGGUGGCAAGCGUUGUUCGGAAUUACUGGGCGUAAAGGGCGCGUAGGCGGCUAGGCAAGUCAGGUGUGAAAGCCCCGGGCUUAACCCGGGAAUUGCAUCUGAAACUGCUGUGCUUGAGUUCUGGAGGGGGUAGUGGAAUUCCCAGCGUAGCGGUGAAAUGCGUAGAUAUCUGGAGGAACACCGGUGGCGAAGGCGCCCACCUGGCCUGCUACUGACGCUGAAGCUCGAAAGCUAGGGGAGCAAACGGG
rnacentral:rRNA from 1 species